UUGGCGUAGCUCGUUUCACAUCAACAAAUAGUGAUAUACUUUUACUCGUUACACUAUUGGAUUUCAAUUAUUAAAGUCUAUCAUUAUCAUCAUUUUCCAGUGUAGGCAUCCAAUUAAUCAUUCGAGAGAGGUAAAAUAAGAGUGAUAAUUAAGGUACGCAAUGAGCCAGCCCCCAUAUAACCCUCAACAAACACCAUACCCCCCACCCCAUGGUAAUGUUGGUUUUGAACAAUAUCAACAAGGGGCACCACCCCCACCAUAUAGUUCUGGUCCAGGACCAUAUCCCCAACAAGGUUAUGGGGCACCACCACCUGGCCAGGGUCCUUAUGCACCUGGACCUUAUGGACCAAGGGGGCCGGGUCCAUAUGGUACUGCAGCUCAUUAUCCACCCGGUCAACAACCACAGACUGUUUAUGUGUAUGAAGACAGACGACGACAGCAACAAAAACAAGGUGACGAAGACACCUGCUUAGCCAUGAUGGCUGGGGCAUGUGCAAUGUGCUUAUGUUGUUCAUUGCUUUCGGAUUAAAAACAUCUGGCCAAUUUAGUAUGGUCUAAAUGACUUGAAUAUAUUGUAUAGUAACUAACAAUUUAUACAUGAGCUACAUAGCUUAAGUAAGCACACACAUGUUGAAUUUAAUAUUAUAAUGCAUUGGUAUAGUAAUGUAUUUAGCAAGGUUAGUAGCAGGUAUAUUUUCUGGGUAAUUAUUUAUUUAACUUACAUUGAAAGCAUGAAUAAUAAAAUCACUUAACUAGUGUUUUGACUAUCCAUGCUGAAAACAUGUCAAUGUUUACACACUUCACUUGAGAUUUUGUUUGAAUCCUGUUCAGGUAACUUAAUUUGAUAUGUAAAGCUCAGGAUGACUUUACAUGGUUUCACUAGAAAUACUUGCAGUAAAGCCAUGUGGUUAGGCUGUUGCUAAUCAUUUUUAGAUAAAUUUGUGGCUGUUGCUGAUUAUUUUUAGAGAAAUUUGAGAAGUAUAAUUCAAUGAGAACAUGCAACUUCGUAUACAGCCUUGUUAUGAGGUUGUAUGCAAAGUUUACAUUACCUCACUAGUUUUGGUGAAGGUAAAGACAAACAUGUUGAAACAAGCAUGCAGCAUACGUUUUUUUAGUCUAUGAUGAAUUAAAGCAAAUUGACUGAAAAAAUGAUUGCAUUGUUACAACUUGUGCUAAGGAAUAUUAUACAAGUCCUGGCACAGCGCGUACACAAAUUUCAGUUAAAUUUGCACCUAGUGUAAACUUACAGUAGUUUAAAUAUUGGAAGAAAGAAAAAUGUGUGAGAGGUAAUUUUUUUCCAAGAAUGUAAAAUAUAGUCGCAUUUCUACAGUUUUA